UACCGCCUAUCACAAGGAGUAAGUCAUGCUCGCACCUUGGCAGCCGUUGCUGGAGUGGUGGUUCGGUUGGGGCACCAGUCCCCAGGCCGUGGC
rnacentral:tRNA from 1 species